GAACGCUGGCGGCAUGCUUAACACAUGCAAGUCGAACGGAUAAAGUUUCUAGCUUGCUAGAAAUUUUAUUAGUGGCAAACGGGUGAGUAACACGUAGGAAUCUCCCCUAUAGCACGGAAUAACAAUUGGAAACGAUUGCUAAUACCGUAUACGCUCUUCGGAGGAAAGAUUUAUCACUAUAGGAUGAGCCUGCGCUAGAUUAGGUAGUUGGUAGGGUAAUGGCCUACCAAGCCGAUGAUCUAUAGCUGGUCUGAGAGGAUGAUCAGCCACACUGGAACUGAGAUACGGUC
rnacentral:rRNA from 1 species